GUAGGUGGCAAGCGUUGUCCGGAAUUAUUGGGCGUAAAGCGCGCGCAGGCGGUCCUUUAAGUCUGAUGUGAAAGCCCACGGCUCAACCGUGGAGGGUCACUGGAAACUGGGGGACUUGAGUACAGAAGAGGAAAGCGGAAUUCCAAGUGUAGCGGUGAAAUGCGUAGAGAUUUGGAGGAACACCAGUGGCGAAGGCGGCUUUCUGGUCUGUAACUGACGCUGAGGCGCGAAAGCGUGGGGAGCAAACAGGGAUUAGAUACCCUGGUAGUCCACGCCGUAAACGAUGAGUGCUAAGUGUUAGGGGGUUUCCGCCCCUUAGUGCUGCAGCUAACGCAUUAAGCACUCCGCCUGGGGAUACGGCCGCAAGGCUG
rnacentral:rRNA from 1 species